rnacentral:rRNA from 1 species
UACGGGGGGAGCAAGCGUUGUUCGGAUUUACUGGGCGUAAAGGGCGCGUAGGCGGCCACCGCAAGUCGGUUGUGAAAUCUCUGGGCUUAACCCAGAAAGGUCAACCGAUACUGCGGGGCUAGAGUGCAGAAGGGGCAACUGGAAUUCUCGGUGUAGCGGUGAAAUGCGUAGAUAUCGAGAGGAACACCGGUGGCGAAGGCGGCCUUCUGGACAGUGACUGACGCUGAGACGCGAAAGCGUGGGGAGCAAACAGG